GUGCCAGCCGCCGCGGUAAGACAGAGGUGGCGAGCGUUGUUCGGAUUUACUGGGCGUAAAGCGCGGGUAGGCGGUUCGGCCAGUCAGAUGUGAAAUCCCACUGCUUAACGGUGGAACGGCGUCUGAUACUGCCGAACUUGAGUGCAGGAGAGGAGGGUGGAAUUUCCGGUGUAGCGGUGAAAUGCGUAGAGAUCGGAAGGAACACCAGUGGCGAAGGCGGCCCUCUGGACUGCAACUGACGCUGAGACGCGAAAGCGUGGGGAGCAAACAGGAUUAGAAACCCCGGUAGUCC
rnacentral:rRNA from 1 species